UACGGGGGGUGCAAGCGUUAUCCGGAUUCACUGGGUUUAAAGGGUGCGUAGGUGGGUUGGUAAGUCAGUGGUGAAAUCUCCAGGCUUAACUUGGAAACUGCCAUUGAUACUAUCAAUCUUGAAUACCGUGGAGGUCAGCGGAAUAUGUCAUGUAGCGGUGAAAUGCUUAGAUAUGACAUAGAACACCAAUUGCGAAGGCAGCUGGCUACACGAAUAUUGACACUGAUGCACGAAAGCGUGGGGAUCAAACAGG
rnacentral:rRNA from 1 species